rnacentral:rRNA from 1 species
CAAUAGCGUAUAUUAAAGUUGUUGCAGUUAAAAAGCUCGUAGUUGGAUUUCUGGCAGGAGCGUCCGGUCUCACACUCAGUGCGGGAACUUGGAUGUCUCUGGCCAUCUUUGGGGAUAUCCUGUUUGGCAUUAAGUUGUCGGGCAGGGGAUACCCAUCGUUUACUGUGAAAAAAUUAGAGUGUUUAAAGCAGGCUUAUGCCGUUGAAUAUAUUAGCAUGGAAUAAUAAGAUAGGACGUAGGUACUAUUUUGUUGGUUUGCGCACCCACGUAAUGAUUAAUAGAGACAGGCGGGGCUAUCCGUAUUGCAUUGUCAGAGGUGAAAUUCUUGGAUUUCUGCAAGACGAACUACUGCGAAAGCAUUUAGCAAGGAUGUUUUCAUUAA